CCGUGCUAGACGGGGAGCUAGCGGUGCCCUGAACUCGCAAUCCGCUAUAGCGGGGUUGAACUCCUCCCCUAGGCGUGGCGAAUGGGUCUAUAUCCCAAGGUUUCGAUGUUGAAGGCCGGGUCCCACGCGGCGUAGGCCUGUGAACCCCGCCAGGUCCGGAAGGAAGCAACGGUAAACAGGACCCUGUGGGUGCCGUGGGAGCGCCUGGCCGGAGUCGAGUCCCGGGACACGCCCGGUGGCCAUUUUCAAAGGGGGGUGCGCGG
rnacentral:SRP_RNA from 1 species